GAGGCUUUAGCUUAAUUAAAGUGUCUGAGUUGCAUUCAGAGAGAUGUAUAUUAAAGUUACACAGGCCUUC
rnacentral:tRNA from 1 species